UUUUAUUUGAGAGUUUGAUCCUGGCUCAGGAUGAACGCUGGCGGCGUGCCUAACACAUGCAAGUUGAGCGAUUUACUUCGGUAAAGAGCGGCGGACGGGUGAGUAACGCGUGGGUAACCUACCCUGUACACACGGAUAACAUACCGAAAGGUAUGCUAAUACGGGAUAAUAUAUUUGAGAGGCAUCUCUUGAAUAUCAAAGGUGAGCCAGUACAGGAUGGACCCGCGUCUGAUUAGCUAGUUGGUAAGGUAACGGCUUACCAAGGCGACGAUCAGUAGCCGACCUGAGAGGGUGAUCGGCCACAUUGGAACUGAGACACGGUCCAAACUCCUAC
rnacentral:rRNA from 1 species